rnacentral:lncRNA from 1 species
CGAUACUUUUAGUAAUAAGGAGACGAGUACACCUAUAUGUAAAAGAAUAAAAUGAGAAAAAGUGAGUAUGUGUAAUUUGCAUAUGAUGUUGUGUGUGUUUUUUUUAAUAGUGUAUAAUUUGUCUUAUUUAUUUUUUAAUAAACAUAAUAAUAAUUAUAACGUGUUUGUUAAUGGUACAUUGAAAGAUUUAAAAUCGAAUAAUAUAAUAGAUGGUAUAACUUUAUAUUUAAAUAAUAAAUUUAUACAUUAUAAAGUGCAUGCACGAGGAAUAUAUUUAGAUGUCGAUUUUGAUGACUUGGAAGAAGUAAAAAAAGUGAUAGAUACAUAUAGUAAACAUGCAAGCUUUUCACACUGUAACAUAAAAAAAAAAGAUUUUAAAAAAGAUAAAAAAGAAAAUGGCGAAUAUGACGAUGAUGAUAGUGAUGGAAAAAGAGAGAAGGUAGGUACAGGUGCAGGUGCAGAUGCAGAUGCAGAUGCAGGUGGAAAGGAAGAGGGGGGAAAAAAAAAUACAUAUGAUAAAAAAGAUUUGAUAGAUUGGUCUGAAGUAAUAUCAGAAGGUGAAUAUUUAGAAGAAGGUGUUUUAAAAUCAUCAAAUUGUAUUAUUUUUUUAAAUAUAAAACACGAACAAAGUUUAAAAUAUAUAUAUAGUUUUAUGGAUUAUAUGUAUAAAAAUACAUAUGCUCUAGCAUUAAUAUUUAUAUGUGAUAAUUUUUUAUAUGAAAAUGAAAUAAACAAUCCACAUGAUGAUUUGAAUAUAACAUUAAUUGAGCCAAGUAUUUUAUCAUACUUAAUACCAGCAGAUUUAAUGCUAUCAUAUAAAAAAGAACAAUUUAAUGAAUACAUUUUUGAAUUAUUUUGGGGUAUUGACAAAAAAACUGAUGUUGUUCAUAUAGUUUACUACUUAGAUUUAGGUAAAUAUUUUAAUUAUACUUUUUUUCUUUUUAUGAAAAAUUUCUUAUUACAAUUAAAAAAUGAUAUAACAUAUGAAAUUAAGUUUACCAUUUAUAGAAACUUUGCUAUAGAUUCUACAUAUUGUUUUCUUCGUGAUGCAUCAUAUUGUAUUAGUAAACCUGAUUAUAUUAAUACGGAUAUGGUUAGAAAAGUAGUAGAACAAAAAGUAACAGGUUUAUGCGUAUAUGAAUUAACUGCUGUAAAGAAUAAAAAAAAUAUGUUUAAUGGUGAUACACAUUAUGAUAUAGAGAGGAAAAAUCUUAAUACGUCCGUACUAACUACAGAUAAAGAACUAACAAAACAAAACAUAUUAAAUGAAAAAAAAACUGAUUCAACUUUGCCAAUUUCAAAAAAUAUGUUUAGUGAAGAAUAUAUUCUAUAUUUAAAUGCAUUAUUCGAUUUGGGUUUUGAACAAAGAAUAUGCUCCAAUGGGUCGAAUGAUUUGACCAAAUUUUGUUCUAAUAAUAUAAUCUCCUUUUUAGGCAUGUCUGUUGAAGAAGUUGAUAAUUGUUUUGUACAAAAUUUCCACACUUAUAUUAGAAAAAUGAUAAAAAUUAGAUUUUAUGUUUUUUCGAUAGCAAUAAAUGAUAAAUUUUAUAAAAUGAAACUAAAUAAAGACAUUAGUAUACAACUAAUUUGUUCGGCUUUUAAAAAAAUGCCACAUACUUGUAUUAAAUAUAUGAAGAAGAGGCAAC